rnacentral:misc_RNA from 1 species
CUUUUCCCUAUCAGUCUUGAAAGAGAAAGACCGAGUGAGAAAUUGCGAGACUAAGAUGGCAAAGACUAAGACCACUUCAAAUUAUGAGUUUCGGCGUUGUCCAAUGUGUUCCUAUUCAGCAAGAAGUGAAGAGGACUACAAAGGACCCGUCUUCAAGUGUGCUAUGCGGACCUUCCAAUGUCUUGUGUGCGACUUCUGUAAUAAUAAAGAAGCUAACCUGAAGCGACACAAGAAGAGAUGUCACCCUGGCCUAGCCAAGGAAGAAGACGUUAAGUUGGGAAGCAAGGAGAAUAAGUGUGAAGAAAUGAGAGAACAGCGGGAAGACGAUUGGCUUGCUCAAGAUCCGGGAGAUCUUAUUGGAGAAAUUUCAGAUGAGGAUAGCGAUAAAGAAGAUGAUGAAGACACCACGAGUGAUAAAGAAGCUGGAUCUCAAGAGAAAGAGGUAGAUGAAAGUUUGCUUGAGGGAAGGAUGUUUAGGAAGCCGACAACGCCUUUGCUUCCGAUAAUUAGUAAGCAGAAAUCUUCGGAUGUCCACUUGUCUCCUGCACAACCUAAAACAUUGAGAAAGGAGGACCAAUCCGUGCAGACUUCAUUAAGUGUUUAAAACUUUGGAAACUCGUUUGGAAGUAGGAGGGACUGCGGAACUCAAACGGAUCCAUUGAAAAGAAUCCAGACAACGAAAACUGUCAAGAAGUUCAGACAUGGAAAUGUUGACACUAAGACUGUUUCUAAAGAAAAAGCUGUGUUUGAUAUGUAAAUCAUUUGAAAUGCAUUUUUAAGGGAAAUUUUCUAUUUGUUCUGCAAAGAUAAGAAACUUUGUAGUUUGAGUACUGAUGCUAAAUAAAUAUUACUUG